CUAAGUUUGAUGGCGACCGGCGCACGGGUGAGUAACACGUAUCCAACCUGCCGAUGACUCGGGGAUAGCCUUUCGAAAGAACGAUUAAUACCCGAUGGCAUAGUUCUUCCGCAUGGUAGAACUAUUAAAGGAUUUCGGUCAUCGAUGGGGAUGCGUUCCAUUAGGUUGUUGGCGGGGUAACGGCCCACCAAGCCUUCGAUGGAUAGGGGUUCUGAGAGGAAGGUCCCCCACAUUGGAACUGAGACACGGUCCAAACUCCUACGGGAGGCAGCAUG
rnacentral:rRNA from 1 species